UGGGGAAUAUUGGGCAAUGGGCGAAAGCCUGACCCAGCAACGCCGCGUGAAGGAAGAAGGUUUUCGGAUUGUAAACUUCUUUUAUCAGGGACGAAGAAAGUGACGGUACCUGAUGAAUAAGCCACGGCUAACUACGUGCCAGCAGCCGCGGUAAUACGUAGGUGGCAAGCGUUAUCCGGAUUUACUGGGUGUAAAGGGCGCGUAGGCGGGGAUGCAAGUCAGAUGUGAAAUCUAUGGGCUUAACCCAUAAACUGCAUUUGAAACUGUAUCUCUUGAGUGUCGGAGAGGUAGACGGAAUUCCUAGUGUAGCGGUGAAAUGCGUAGAUAUUAGGAGGAACACCAGUGGCGAAGGCGGCUUUCUGGACUGUAACUGACGCUGAGGCUCGAAAGCGUGGGAAGCGAACAGGGAUUAGAUACCCUGGGUA
rnacentral:rRNA from 1 species